rnacentral:lncRNA from 1 species
UGACGAGGGAAUUUUUCAGGUUUGCUUUCUGGGUUUUUUGCACUGUGCCAGAUACAAAAGGAAAAAAUGAGCUUGUAUAAGACAAUACCUACUUUCAUUCUCUUGCUUUCAGGAUAUUUUUGUAAAAAUACACAGGUUGCUGCAAAUGAAACAUCAACAGAACAAACAUCUUUGCCAUCAAAGGAGACGUCUAGUGUCUCGUCUAGUGUCUCACCUAGUGUCUCAUCUUCCUCCAGUGUCACACAGACUCCUGAACCAGAAACACACGGGAAUGACCAUAUUUCAGGAAAAGAACUCUCCACUUCAUUAGUGGCAGCCCUCAGCAUUUUCUUUGUGCUCUUUUUAUUUUUGUUGUUAUUAGUAUUUGGUGUGCACGAAAAAAGUCAAAGCCAGUGUUUCAAAUCACUGCAAAUAAUCUGGAAUGUCAGUUGACAAGAACCCCUGCCUCCAAAAGAGUCUGUCGAUGCUAUUAG